rnacentral:rRNA from 1 species
CCCCUAGAUGUUCUGGGCCGCACGCGCGCUACACUGAACAGUUCAACAAGUCUUAACCUUGGCCGAUAGGUCUGGGUAAUCUUUGAACGCUGUUCGUGAUUGGGAUAGACCUUUGCAAUUAUGGGUCUUCAACGAGGAAUUCCUAGUAAACGCAAGUCAUCAGCUUGCAUUGAUUACGUCCCUGCCCUUUGUACACACCGCCCGUCGCACCUACCGAUUGAAUGGUCCGGUGAAAUCUCGGGAUGGCGGCUUGGUCGCUUGCGUCCGACUGCUGAAACUUGAUUAAACCAUAUCAUUUAGAGGAAGGUGAAGUCGUAACA